rnacentral:rRNA from 1 species
AGCGAACGCUGGCGGCAGGCUUAACACAUGCAAGUCGAGCGGGCAUCCUUGUGGUGUCAGCGGCAGACGGGUGAGUAACGCGUGGGAACGUGCCCUUCGGUUCGGAAUAACUCAGGGAAACUUGAGCUAAUACCGGAUACGUGCGAGAGCAGAAAGGUUUAUCUGCCGAAGGAUCGGCCCGCGUCUGAUUAGCUAGUUGGUGAGGUUAUGGCUCACCAAGGCGACGAUCAGUAGCUGGUCUGAGAGGAUGAUCGGCCACACUGGGACUGAGACACGGCCCAGACUCCUACGGGAGGCAGCAGUGGGGAAUAUUGGACAAUGGGGGCAACCCUGAUCCAGCCAUGCCGCGUGAGUGAUGACGGCCUUAGGGUUGUAAAGCUCUUUUCUCCGGGACGAUAAUGACGGUACCGGAGGAAUAAGCCCCGGCUAACUUCGU